rnacentral:misc_RNA from 1 species
UAAAUUGUAAAACCUUUGGUAGUUCAACUUCAGUUUAGUUAGAAUGCAGUAUCAUAUGUAUUUACUUCAGGUUUCAAUUUCAAAAGUGAAUUAAACCUAGUUCAUUUCUGAGCCUUUAACCUGCUGUGUGGCUAUGCAAUGUUAAAUUUGCGUCCUUGGAAAUGUUUUUCAAGUUUUGAUUAUGUUCAAUGUAUUACCAUGGCUUGUUAUUGAAGUAAGGUUGAGUUGGAAUAUAGUGAUA